GGGUCAAUGAUGAGUACUUUUAUAUUGCCUUGAGGAGCGGUGAUGACUCAAAUAUCAAGUACAAUGGCAUGACGCUGAGGCCC
rnacentral:snoRNA from 1 species